rnacentral:lncRNA from 1 species
CAGGAGGGGCGGCGUGAAGCGCAUCUCCGGCCUCAUCUACGAGGAGACCCGCGGCGUCCUCAAGAUCUUCCUCGAGAACGUCAUACGCGACGCCGUCACCUACACGGAGCACGCCCGCCGCAAGACCGUCACCGCCAUGGACGUCGUCUAUGCCCUCAAGCGCCAGGGCCGCACCCUCUACGGCUUCGGAGGCUAGAUUCGUCUAGUGGUGCCAGUAGUGGGGCAACUUCCUCGUUUGCUCUGUGUCAUGUGUUGUGUGGUAGAUGGGAUUUACUGCUUUGGCGUGCGUCGUUGUGCUCUGUCUUGGGUUCAGUAGGCUGUGUAAUACCCAAAGUAUGUUGUGUUCAAUGAAAUCAGUUCAAUUCUAAAUCAUGACGAAAUGCUUCACUGUUGAAUUUGUGUUUUGCUUUUCUAAGACUGGCUGAUUUGAUUUCUCUGUUUAGAUUGUAUGGCUGCACUGAAUAUGUCUUCUAUUUGUUCAAGUAUUUGAAUCUCGUCGCUUCUCAUUUUAGAUCGUAUUUCAUGACAAAUUUUCAUGACAAAUUUCCAUUACUUCAACACGCUCCUUCUAUCUCCUUGAUGAUGUUAUAUUCCUAAACUCCUAUGUACUUAACACUUCUCUCUAUCACACAUGAGCAAUUAAUUUUCUCUAAUGUUUCCAUUUGCACAACAGAAUAGUACCUUUAUUCCAUUACUCAUGUUGAUAUAUUUGUGCUCUCCAAGAUUUCAGUUCACAUAUCAAUUUUAAUCUUUGCAUGUAAAUUUUGAUAAUGUGUAAGGUUUAUAUGCUUUUAUCCCAUUGAAAACUUGCUUUAAUUCCUCGGAUGAUAAUCCUGCUGUUAAACCCAUGUCGUGUUUACUAAAUAAUUUGCCUCCUAUAGUGUGCUUCUGUCGUAAUGCCUGAUUUGCUCAUAUGGACAAUAAUGACUAGAUCUAUGGACCCAUAUAUCAGUCGCUUAGAUAGCUUGAUUUUUUUCCUAAUCUAGAUUUGGAAAGAAUUAGUAAUGGGCAACAUCAUUGCUGAACUACAGUAUGGAUGUACUGUUGAUAUUGCACAUUGCAACCACAUGGUUGUCUUCUCGGGCUUUUGAGGCACGCACACCUAUUUAUGGUUCUGGUUCAAGUUUAGUUUAAUCUACAGUUACAAUUAAUAUUGUCUUUCAAGUAAAUUCAACAUCGUGUUAUCUCAUAUGAACAUGAUACAACCAUAUUGCAUAUGGAGCUUUCAACAAUUCACGGCAAUUCCUCAUGGUUCUUUUUUCGUGUGCAGGCCCUAAGAUACAUGUGUUGUCGAACAUGAGACUCCCUAAGGUGUGGAGCUAGAAGAGGUGGCGUUUCCAAAGGCAGUGCCAGCUAAUGCAUGGAUGGCCAACGAAGCUAAUGCAUGGAUUUUUCAAAAAUAAAGAUGUCAAGGCACAACUUGCUGGCGGAACCAAGCAUGUUGACCAUUGCAAUUUGAACGCAUAUAUUAUCGAAAAUGGGAUGAUUUGUGUAGUUUUAUAGCAAUACAAAUGCGCUUUUGGAUGUAAAUUUUGCGGCAACACGCUUUGGAAUUAAAUGGAUGGGUGAAUGAAGAGAGGGAAAAAAACGUAUGUCCUAAGUAGAAUGAUUAUCUAGAGAAAUGUCUUCAUAUAUUCCAUUGUCGUCCCGUUGCAUCGCACGGGCAUCUUACUAGUGACAUCUGAAAACUGAGCUGUGAACAUUCUCGUCGACCUCCAAUCACUUGGCCUGGCCCAAAUCAUUGUAGCACAAGCAGUCAAGCAGCCCACAUUUCUCUCUAAAAAAAAAGCUUAUGCCCCCACCUCCGCCACGUCACCGAUCCGCACCACCAGCCUCCCACCGCAUCCCACCUUCCGAUCGCAAUCCAACGGCCGAACUCCAGCAUCCCACGGAUCGACCCAGCAGAGAGCAGAGACCUCCCGCCUCCAACUCCCGAAAAUUUCGGGGCUUCCCUCGCAACCCCACCCCAUAUAAAGCCGUCACCUCCGAUUCCCCAAUCCAUCCCAAGCUUCAACAUCCACACGAGUCCUUCUUCUCUCAAACAAAAACAAAUCCAGACACGAUGUCUGGGCGCGGCAAGGGCGGCAAGGGGCUGGGAAAGGGCGGCGCCAAGCGCCACCGGAAGGUCCUCCGCGACAACAUCCAGGGCAUCACCAAGCCGGCGAUCCGGAGGCUGGCCAGGAGGGGCGGCGUGAAGCGCAUCUCCGGCCUCAUCUACGAGGAGACCCGCGGCGUCCUCAAGAUCUUCCUCGAGAACGUCAUACGCGACGCCGUCACCUACACCGAGCACGCCCGCCGCAAGACCGUCACCGCCAUGGACGUCGUCUACGCGCUCAAGCGCCAGGGCCGCACCCUCUACGGCUUCGGAGGCUAGAUCUGCAGUGGAGCAACUUCCUCGUUUGCUCUGUGUGAUAUGUGCUGUGCUGGAUGGAUUUACCGAUCUGGUGUGCGUCGUUGUAUUCUGUCUUUGGGUUGAGUAGGCUGUGUAAUACCUUGUUCUGUUCAAUGCAAUCAGUUCGAUUCUGAAUCCUGACGAAAUGCUUCACUGUUGAAUUGUGAUUUGUUUUCUCUAAGACCGACUGAUUUGAUCUGUUUGGACAGUACAGCUACAGUGAAUCAGUCUUUUAUUUCUUGACACUCGUUGCUUCCCAGAUUAGAUUGUGCUGCUACUGAAUCUGGCUUUCAUUUGUUCAAGUAUUUGACGCUAGUUGCUUCUCGGUUUAGAUCCCAUAUCUGUACCAAAUCAUCCUUCUAUCUGGCGCUAGCUGCAAUAUGUGGAGAUGGAAUUCUUCCGCUCAGGCUUACAGUGUCCAAUGUUUUGGUUUGGCACCACUGUGGAAUGAUCUUCGAAUAUUUCUGUUGCUUUCAGUGGUAUGAAUACUCAAAUAUGGCUUCUGUUCCUGAACGCUACAUCAAUCCUCUGGAGCUACUGUCAGCGUGGAUGUACUACUGAGGCUCUUCACUGAACAUAUUUCUUUGUCCUAAUUGUACUAUUCCUUCGAGGAAUGAGCACUAGGAAUUUUAUAUUCUUUUCAAGAAUCUUGUUCCUCACUGUGAUAUACAGUGCAACCAAGUCAUAGGUUGUUUCUAUGUUCUUUUUGAGAAACUUUGUAGACUCUAUAGAGCAGGAAUUGUGUGACUCAGUUCCUUAGGAUGUGUUUGGUUUGAGAACGAAGUGGAACGGAAUGUCAUGGUUCCAUUCCACUAGCACGGGUCGGUUCCGUUUUUGUGUUUGGUAUGAGCAAUUCUGAAGAAUGGAACGGUUACAUGUUGGUGUUUGGUUCAAGAGAUGCAAUGGAAUGGAAUUGUUCAUCUCACUUGAUUAGAUUGACUCACACUGAAUCAGAUUUUGAUAGAAAAACUAAUGAAUGUAGUGAACACUUUGAUUAUAUCGAUUAAGAGGUACAUAUAGACGCUGCAAUACAGGUACACAAGAUCAAAGAACAAGAAUAUAUUCUAAUCAGAGAGCAGAAAAGAUCAUAUCACGCACCACACACACCAACGUACAGAAAAGAUCAGAUCAGUCACCACUCCUAAAAACAACUCCCUGUCGACAGCGAUAGUCUGCACCAUGGCGGUCGAGUUCGCGAGGCUGCACUUCAAGCGCCUUCAGAAAUAACAAAUUUGUGAAGAGGCAAAGGAAGGAGGAGCCGCCGCCAGCAGGUGAGGCCGGGAGGCCGCCGCCGGCAAGCCACGAGCCACUGCUCCACUCCUUCUUAGCCGCUGCCCGCAGCAAGCAGUUAUAGUCGCUCAGAUGUGUCCGCGACGGGACGGCCGCUCCUCGUUCUUUGCCUGGAUGUGUGCGCGACGGGAUGGCCAGCUGUGAGGAAGAAAGACGAGCGGGAGGAGAGGCGACGGGGAGAUGAGGGGCAGCCGGCGCUGGGUCGGGGGAGUGGGCGGCGCUGAGAUUUGGAGGGUGCGUGCGAGUUGGGGAGGAGGAAGGGACGCAGGUUCCGCUCGUUCCACGUGGUCCGCUCGAAUCGGAGGUAUGGAUUGGUUCCGCAUAUACAAGGAAUAUUCGUUCGGUGGGAACGGGCUGAUUCCAUUCCAGCGAUGUACCAAACGCCGGAACGAGGCCGAGGUACGGGUCCAACCCAUGCCAUUCCACUUGAUGAUUGAAACCAAACGCCGGAACGAGAUCUUCACUGAUCAAGCUACACAAAUGCAAUAGGUGAUAAACUUUUUUAUUUAUGUAUUUCAUGUCACCAAGAGAAAGCAAUAAAAUAUGUCAUGCAAUGGAUUAUCACUGGAUUUUUGUUAUCUAUAGCAGCGUUACGAAGCUCGGGUGCAUCUGCACCCGCAUGUAUAGUAAAUUCAAAACAAAAACCAAAUAGAUUAGUCUGAAGUUUAUACACAUGAAGAUGAGAGGCUUUUUCUGGGUGUUUGCAAAUUUUGGCGUUGAGAUGACAUCUGUGGAACUCGGUAAAAAAAUAAAAAAUCAAAGCUCCAUAAAUGCCGAAAGCUGCAAAAAAAAUCGAGCUCCAAUUUUGCUUUUUCUUUGUAGUGAGAUUCCCGUGUGUCAUGUCAGCAUGAAAAUUUGCACGCACCUAAAAGAGUCUUAUCUUUGGUGUGUAAAAAUUUCAUUUAAAAAAAAUUGUUUAGUAUUUUACUUGUAUUUACUGUUCAUUCAUGAGCAUUUGAGCUCGGGGUCAAAAAUGUAUUCCCAUCACCUCUUAGUGUGAUCUCUGCCAUUUAAUAUUACGGGAACACAAAAUAGUGUUAUGGUUAAGUUUAAACAAAAGAAAUGAGUGAAUAGUGCACAUACAACUAAAGUUGCUUGCCUGCUUUUCGCAGGGUGGACUUACAAUUGUAGUUGCGUCAGUGUGCGGACGAUGGACAUGCCACUAUAGUUGUAUGCGGCUACCUGACAUGCAACUGUCUUACUGUCAUCUCGCACGGCCAUCGGGCGUACAUAGUUGCAUUUGGCGUGGAGAAAGGCAAAAAUCAAAACACACAAAAAAUUAGAAAACAUAACAUCAAUGAAACAAACACUACAAAAAAAGCAUAUACAAAGAAGGACUCAAAAGAGAAAACCCACAUAGAUCUCCAUGUAAGAUCUAGCAGAUAUAAUAUCAAUCGAGAUUUGAUUAAGUCUAAGUCAAUUGAGAUUUAGCAAAACCGUAUAGCUUGUUGUGAAAAAAUAGCGCACUUCCCCGCGAAGUACGCCGGUGUCGAGAUCACCCUCCUCCGCCCCGAAGAAACCGACAAUCGCGCCACCACCCGCUACGAUCACCUAGUCGAGCUCGAGGCCAAGAACUACCCCCUCGAGCUUUGGCACCCGCAGGGAGCGAACUUUGUGUUCGGCCACUUUGGGGUGCUUUCCUGCGUCGACAACAACUGCCUCAACGCCGGGGACUUCAUGGUGAUGCGGGCCUUCCUCCGCGUGGAAGGAGACCACGUCACGCCGGAGGGAUGCAUCCUCCGUCUUCCGCCCGCUCAAGUCGUCGACGUCAAGCUCCGGGUUGUCAAAACCUGGGCGAUCUUCGACGACCAACCGGUCCCCCUCGAUGACGACGGUGACGACGCCCUCCCUAGCCAGGCGCAUGUCCACGGCGCCUGGCGCUGGAACUGCGGUCACUUCGGCCCCUACACCGGUCCUCAUGGUGUCGAUGCCAUGCCACCUUCAUCGCCGCGCGAACCUUCUCCACCACCCCCCGCUGCCCAACCUCUACACGCUCGAGUCAACCUCCUCCAGCCUCUAGUCGGUGAGCCACUGCUGCACCCUGCUGUGGUGCACGACGACGAGACCGGCCUUGACGACCACCUGGCCGGAGACGCUGAAGAGUCCUUCUCACCUGCUGUGGAGGUGUCCAACUCUUUCUCCUCGUUGGCCCUUGAUGAGGGGGAAUGCUCUCAACUCUCUGGUAACCUCCUAGACGUGCCCAUCCCCCCCCCUCGUCCUCCCGCCCAAUCUUACCUACUUGCUCUCCUUGUUCAGGCACGGCUUCUGCUGCGCUCAACUCAGAUGAGCAUGAGGCCACCGUCCGCCGCAUCCAGGGCGCUGGCAAGCGGGCUACCGAUGCUGCCAAGCUUCGUAGGAGCCGUCGCCUCGCAGAGAAGGAGGAGGGCCAGUUCGUAGACAUGACCACCCAGGCCAUGCGCGCGAAGGCUCGUCGUUUUGACCUGCAGCACGCGACGGCCGAGCUCGUCGCGGCCCUCGACCAGUCCGGCCUUACCAGCACUCCGGACGAGCCGGUGCACGAUGUUGCAUCCCUAGCCCAGAUCGCGCUCAUCUGCGGUGCUGAGCAGCAGGAGAUCGAUGAGGUGUCCUCCCCGGCGCCGUGAUCAACGCUGCUCUGCCCUGGACUCCGGUUCCUCGCCAAAACCGCUUAGUCCUCAAUUGUUAUGGCCGUAUCUGCCCAUUAGGCAAUGUUUUAAUUCCUAGCUUUCCCUUUCCUGCACUUCUCACUUGAUCCCAUAGAUGCAUGGGCAAGCUGAUUCUCGAUCCUUUUGUAACGUAUGAUCGCAACCUGGACUUUUGGUGCCUACCUUUAGCUCAAUGAAUGGCCUCAAGUUUAAUUUUUGCUGUUGGAAUGUUCGUGGCCUUGGCCAAAGUCAGAAAUGCUCGGACGUCCUAUCUGAGCUUAUCGCCAUUAACCCACAUGCGUGUUUCCUUCAGGAAACCAAACUCAACUCUAUCACUACCUCCCUUCAGAAAAAAUUCCUCCCAAAGCACCUCGAUCUCACCCACACCUUGCCGGCCACCGGCUCGGCCGGAGGCAUUCUCUCGGCCUUCUCUUCCUCCCAGUUUACUCUCCUCACUUCGAACACCGGCAAUUUCUCCCAAACUUCUACGAUCUCCUGCCUUGCCUCCCCCCAAAAGCUCGCCGUCACAAUCGUGUACGCUCCCACUGACCAUGCCCUCAAGCAGGAUUUUCUGUCUGAGCUGGCCUCCUUCGUCCCACCCUCACACACCCCCUGGCUUAUCUUGGGCGACUUCAAUCUCCUACGGCGCCCCUCGGACAAAAACACGAAUAACUUCAGGCAAUCUGAAGCGGACAUGUUCAACGCCUUUAUCCACCUUCAUGGGCUAAUAGAGCUCCCUCUCCUGGACCGCUGCUAUACUUGGUCGAGCAAGAGGGAUCAGCCCACCCUUGAAAAAUUAGACCGAGUUUUCAUUAAUGUUGACUGGGACCUCCUCUUCCCAAACACCACAAUUGCAUCACUAACCUGAUAUAUUUCCGAUCAUGUUCCCCUUCUUAUCACGAUAGACACCAUCAUCCCUCGCCCCGCUCUUUUUCGAUUUGAAAAUCGUUGGGCCGUUCGACCAACCUGCCUUACCAUUGUCCAAACAGCCUGGGCUGAGGCCCGUAUACGUUCCAACCACGCCUUGAGCCUUGCCGCCGCUCUCAAACGUACGCGGUCCGAUCUUAAAAGGUGGAGGCGCUCUGCUAUUCCACUGAACACUCGUGAAAAGAAUUGCAGAAUAGUUAUAUCUGUUCUCGAUAUCAUUGAAGAAUCUCGCUUUCUAUCACCCCUCGAGCUUGCUCUUCGCCGGGUCAUCAUCAAAGUUCUACAACGCACCAUCCGUGAGAAAGCAUUGUACUGGAUCCAACGUGGGAAAGUCCAAACUGCGCUAGAAGGAGAUGAAAACUCCCGUUUCUUCCAUGCCUCAGCCUCUGCCCGCCUUCGCAAAAAUAAGAUCACGGUCCUGGAGGCCAAUGGCUCCGAGUUCUUUUCCCAUGAUGCUAAAUCAAAAAUCCUCUCAGACUUCUAUACCUCCCUUCUCGGCACUGCCUUUCAACCCACUUGGUCCUUCUCCCUCCUAGAUUUAUAUCCGUCACCUAUUCCCCAACUUCGAUCUCUCGAUGCCCCAUUCACGGAUGACGAGAUUUCAAAGGCUUUCUUGUCCAUGAAUAAAAAUGCUAGCCCUGGCCCGGACGGUUUUGGCCCUGGGUUCUACAGAAAUUUUUGGCAUAUUCUCAAAAAAAAUCUGCAAUUUCUUCGCUGAUUUCCAUGCCCUGCGUUCGGACCUAUCUUGCCUCAACCGCGCCCUCAUUAUUCUUCUCCCGAAGAAUAAUGACGCCAGGUCCCCAAAUGACUUUCGCCCCAUCUCCCUUCAAAUUUCCCUAUCAAAGGUGUUGCUAAACUCCUUACCAACAGACUGAAAGCGCAUAUCCCUCUUCUGGUCCACGCCGACCAAACUGGCUUCCUGUCUGGUCGCAAUAUCUCUGAAAACUUCCUCGGCUCCGCUGACAUUCUUCAUUGCUGCGCCAAGAAAAAGGCUCCAGCCAUUGUCGUCAAGCUGGACUUUUGGAAAGCGUUCGACUCAAUCUGUUGGUCCUCCCUCCACCACACCCUGCAGGUUAGGGGCUUCCCACCUCGCUGGUGUGCCUGGAUCCGAUCUCUGCUUACCACUCGAUCCACCGCUGUUAUGCUUAAUGGCAUCCCAGGUAAGUGGAUCCAAUGCAAGAACGGACUCCGUCAAGGUGACCCCUAUCUCCUUAUCUGUUCAUUAUUACGGCCGAUAUUCUACAUCAAAUGAUCAUUAACGCUCAUAAGGAUGGUACACUUUUACACCCCUUGUGUCCCCACCUCCCGUGCCCUGUUCUGUAAUAUGCGGACGACACUCUUAUCAUAGUUAAAGCCACCACGACUGCUGCCAAGCACCUCAAACACAUUCUAGACACCUUUGCCGCAGCCACUGGUCUUCAAAUCAACUUCACCAAAACGACUUUCAUCCCCCUUAACGUGGAUCCGCAUGAGGCCGCUCUUAUGGCCUCUGACCUUGGAACGACCAUCUCUUCCUUUCCUCAAACCUACCUAGGUCUACCCCUCUCCCCGCAUAAGCUGCCGCCCUCUGCCUUUCAGCCGGUCAUCGACCAAUGCAACACCUAUCUGGCUGGCUGGUGUGCCCUACUCCUCUCGCGUGGAGGCAAAUUAGUUCUCCUCUCUGCCGUCCUAGACAGUCUCCCCACGUAUUUUAUGCUCUGUUUUUCUCUGCCCGUCCAGGUUAUUGAAGCAAUAGAUAAAUGUAGACGCUCCUUCUUCUGGUCCAAAGAUGAUACCUGCUCGGGGGCUAAAUGCUUGGUGGCUUGGGAUAAAGUGUGCACUCCUAGAGAUGCAGGUGGUUUGGGUGUUAAAAACCUUCGCGCGCAAAAUUUUUGUUUACUGCUGAAAUUUGCCUACAAAUUUUUACACUCCUCCUCCCUCCCUUGGAAGGAUUGGGUUUUGCAUCACUCACCGCUCCACAUUGGCUUUGGCAAGAACAACUCCUUUCUUGCCAAGACUAUUUUCAAACACCUACAGAGCUUGAGAGAGAUUUCCCAGUGCACUGUUGGAGACGGUUGCUUCACCUUCUUCUGGUUAGACCGAUGGCUAAAGCCAGAACCUCUGGCUAUAGUCUACCCAGCCCUAUUUUCCCACCAUAUAAAACAAAAUGCCUUGGUAGUUACAAUUAUGCAGGAGGGGAUCGAACUUGCUCUUCGUAAUUGGCUAACCACUACUGCGAUUGCAGAACUUGCCUCUCUAAACUCUUUGUUGCAGGAUUGGGCUCUCUCACAGGUUCCGGACAUUCGUCGCCUGCUCAACGGGCCCGCCUUCUCGGCCCGGGGUGCGUAUGCUGCUCUCUCGGGUCAUCUCUCCGACCCCACGCUCGCUGCCAUUUGGGACUCAAAAGUGCCCAAAAAGGUUAUAAUCUUCGGAUGGCUCUUCUACCUCGACCGUCUCAACACCCGAAAGAACUUGCAUAAAAAAAGCAUUCUGGAUACAUAAGCUUGUCCAAGAUGUUCUCACCAGGUUGAAGAUCGCGAGCACCUGUUCUUUACAUGCUCGUCUACUCGGGGCAUUUGGCAGGAUGCUUCCAUUCGCCCGUGCUAUACGCCCAUCAGUGACCUCUUCUCUACGAGGGCGCCAACAGCUUUGCCAACUUCAGUCUGCUCCUUCAUGAUCCUAAUCAUCCUAUGGAAGAUAUGGGACACACGGAACAAAAAAGUCUUUCAGGGAAUAGACCUUCAUACUGCUGAUUCCAUUAGGGCUAUUAUUGAUGAUAUAACUAUAUGGGCUCCUCGGCUCAAAACCGAGAGCCUAAAGGAACACACCGGGCGGUGGUGUGACUUCCUCUCCUCACAAAACUUGUGAGUCCUGUACUCUUCUGCUAUGUUUGAAAUUUAUUCAGGUGGGGAGCCUUUCCCCCCCGGUGACCAUUUCAAAAAAAAAAA